rfam:Oryza sativa Japonica Group DNA, chromosome 1, cultivar: Nipponbare, complete sequence.
CUUACGUACCCCCUUUUAUACUAUUUAUUUUCAACGUUUACGUCUUAUUUGAAAAUUUUUUAUGAUUAGUGCUUUAUUGUUAUUUGAUGAUAAAAUAUGAAUAGUACUUUAUGUGUGAUUAUUUUUUAAAAAUUUUUUUAUAAAUUUUUUAAAUAAGACGAACGGUUAAACGUUGGACAAGGAUAUCCACGGCUGCACUUAUU